ACAACACCAGUCUCCAGAGCAUCGCAAGCACCAGAGCACCACUUCCCUCACCCUCCUUAGUAGUAGUAGUAGUAGCCAUCUCCAGUUUGUAAUAAGCCUUUGAGGCAUUGUAUCAUCCAGUGGUGGAGGUAGGCAGAAGCAAUGAAGAAAGGAUCACUUCCUGGAGGACAUGAAGCAUACAUAUUUGGAGAAACGAAUAAGCUCAAAGUAUUUGCACCAGGCACUUGAACUUCAAGCCUAAAAGUCAUAUCAAAAUUAAUGACACCCAGAGGUGCAUAUUGGACAAUUUCUGGUUUCAAUACACCAGAAAAAGAGAAGACCAAGGUUACAUGCUAGCAAUCCUUAAUAGCCUAGCUGAAUACAUUAAUGAAUUAAAUCAAGGCAUCCCCAAAGCGCCACCAAAGGAGAUGCAAAAAGAAAAGACUCUAUAUAUAAUAUUUGAUGGAAAUAAGCCAGGAAUAUAUAUGAGCUAUGAAGAUAUUGUAAAAGAGAAAUUUGAGGCAAGACGGAAGAAAGAAGACUUAACAUGGAAAAAAUAUGAUGAUUACAAUGAGGCCCUAAAAUGGGCAAGAGAACUAAUUGGGCAAGAUUAUUAUAUAGACCCAAAAGCCAAAGAAUAUAUCGAAAGAUGAAGAGGCAUAAGUAGCAAUAUAACCACUCUACCACUUCCUAAAUAUACAAAGGGAGAAGCAUCAAGCUCCCAGAAGGCUAAAGAAGAAGAAUCCCCUAAAUAUGAGACAUACAAAGAAUGCCUUAUCAAAGGAGUUGAUCCUUUGGACGGAGAAUACAUAGAAUUGAAGAUAGAUGAAAAACUUAAAGAAGUUGCAAAGACAAUGAAGGCAGAAUUAAAGGAAGAAAUUUUAAAAGAAUUACGAUCAGAAAUGAACGAAAAUUUUGAAGAGCUAAAGAAAGAAUAUGAUCAAAAAUACGAUUUCACUAUUUCUGAGGCAGACCAUAUGGAUAUUGCCGGGAACAGGCAACCAAUUGAAUAAAAGAAGGAAAGUAAUAAUCAAAUAUACCUGAAUAUGAAUUGAUAUGAAUAUCAAUUAUUCGGGCGCGGAGGACCUAUACCCGAAUAUUGAAAGAACACAAAAUACUGAUAAGGUGUUAUCAAUAAUAUGGGUGGGGUAGACCCAUACCCAUACCCAAAAAAAUUAUGAAAAAAUAAAAAAUGAAAAAAUGAUGGUAGCAAGAAUAAUUAUGCAAGAAGCAGCCAUGCAACAUCCAUAUCAGGAAAGGUCCUCAUUCAAGACAAGACCCUUCAUCCAAGUCGCAGGAAGACAAUAUUCAACCAUGCAUGGAUAACUCAUAGGACGGUGCAUGCAAAAACAAGAGUUACAAUGAAGACAAGAGCUUCAGCCUGGACAAAAUCAUCUGUCAAGACAAAGAUUCCAGUCAAGACAAAAUUCAUGGUCAAGACAAAUAUUCCACUCUAGAAAAAAUUCUCAGUCUGGACAAAGUUCUCAGUCUAGACAAAAAUAUCAGUCUAGCAUCAGAGUCACACAAGGCUUGUUGUCGCAAACACUGAGGCACUUCAGCGGUGCAUAAGGCGUGUCAAGCUACGAGAUACCCCGGCCUCCAGCUAUGACGCAGAAGAAUAAAAGAGGGGAGCAUCCAGCAUCCCUCGCGCACUAUAAAAGGAGGAGGACUGAGCGCGGACACGAAACAACAGUCUACACAACACCAGUCUCCAGAGCAUCGCAAGCACCAGAGCACCACUUCCCUCACCCUCCUUAGUAGUAGUAGUAGUAGCCAUCUCCAGUUUGUAAUAAGCCUUUGAGGCAUUGUAUCAUCCAGUGGUGGAGGUAGGCAGAAGGUAGUCCUCUUUUUCUCUUUGUAAUCCCUUCGAGGUCUCCCGAAAGGGAAAUCUGUAUGUAAAUUAUGUUGUUGAAGUGAACAAUUUCGGGUUUCACUUGGUUUUUA